rnacentral:rRNA from 1 species
GCCGCGUGGAGGAUGAAGGCCCUCUGGGUUGUAAACUUCUUUUAUUUGGGACGAAACACUUUCUUUCUAGAGAGCUUGACGGUACCAGAUGAAUAAGCACCGGCUAACUCCGUGCCAGCAGCCGCGG